UUAACACAUGCAAGUCGAGGGGCAGCAUGGUCUUAGCUUGCUAAGGCCGAUGGCGACCGGCGCACGGGUGAGUAACACGUAUCCAACCUGCCGUCUACUCUUGGACAGCCUUCUGAAAGGAAGAUUAAUACAAGAUGGCAUCAUGAGUCCACAUGUUCACAUGAUUAAAGGUAUUCCGGUAGACGAUGGGGAUGCGUUCCAUUAGAUAGUAGGCGGGGUAACGGCCCACCUAGUCUUCGAUGGAUAGGGGUUCUGAGAGGAAGGUCCCCCACAUUGGAACUGAGACACGGUCCAAACUCCUACGGGAGGCAGCAGUGAGGAAUAUUGGUCAAUGGGCGAGAGCCUGAACCAGCCAAGUAGCGUGAAGGAUGACUGCCCUAUGGGUUGUAAACUUCUUUUAUAAAGGAAUAAAGUCGGGUAUGCAUACCCGUUUGCAUGUACUUUAUGAAUAAGGAUCGGCUAACUCCGUGCCAGCAGCCGCGGUAAUACGGAGGAUCCGAGCGUUAUCCGGAUUUAUUGGGUUUAAAGGGAGCGUAGAUGGAUGUUUAAGUCAGUUGUGAAAGUUUGCGGCUCAACCGUAAAAUUGCAGUUGAUACUGGAUAUCUUGAGUGCAGUUGAGGCAGGCGGAAUUCGUGGUGUAGCGGUGAAAUGCUUAGAUAUCACGAAGAACUCCGAUUGCGAAGGCAGCCUGCUAAGCUGCAACUGACAUUGAGGCUCG
rnacentral:rRNA from 1 species